rnacentral:tRNA from 18 species
GCCUCCGUAGCUCAGGGGAUAGAGCACCGCUCUCCUAAAGCGGGUGCCGCAGGUUCGAAUCCUGCCGGGGGCAC